AAGUCGUAACAAGGUUUCCGUAGGUGAACCUGCGGAAGGAUCAUUAACACGUUAUCCACGUUUAUACAAUCUUAUCAACAACACCACGAACUGUGCUCCCUGUCGGCCCACUUCACUACGUACACUUUCCGGUUAUGGGUGGUUCAUGGCUGCUUGCUUGCAGGCGAAGUGAACACAUCGGAGAGAAGGUUUCUGGCCAGCUUGCUAGGUCAGGGUAGAUGAGACAUAUGUCGGCAGGCUUAUUGAUCCCAAGCUCGUAUGCGCAAGCAUUUCCCAACCCCCUUGGGCAGCGGAUGAUCACCAUACCCUAUUCACAAUUUUCAUACCAGUUGACUAAUUACUAUAUUCUUCGGGAGAAAUCCUGUCGAAUUACUAAGAUUUUAUCUUAACUAAGCACAACUCUUAGCAAUGGAUAUCUUGGUUCUC
rnacentral:misc_RNA from 1 species